rnacentral:lncRNA from 1 species
GAGCAAGGGAGUGCUCGGGAAAUGGAAACAAUGAAUGAAUCAAUCAGUCAAUCAGACAACAGGGUUAACAAUUUCCAGAGACAGCCCGUACAUAGAAGGAAUGUUUACUGAAAAAAAUGAAGAGGGGUCAGGGCAAGGCGAGGAGCAAGAAGCACCCCCAAGGAAACAGAGAAGACCAGUACAACUGUACCUCUUUGCCAGCUGCACCAUCCGUACCAGGUGGCACGUUCCAGAGCCAUAGCCUCUGUUCUAUUCAUCUCCAGUCUCCUGGGGUGGAAGUGUCCAGCACAGAGACUGCCACACUGCAAGACGAAGGGGCUGGACACACGGAAGAGAGAGGCGGAACCCUGCACCCCCUCAACCUCAGCCCUACUGAGUCUCCAAUGGGGCCACGCUUCUGAGUGCACCUCCCCGUGUCAUCUGUAAUGUGAGGGGGAACCAGGCUUGAUAUGGCAUUCCCAAUCCAGGGCCUCUGGACCCCUUGAGAUGCAUAAAAAUAGUGAUGGGGGCCUGAGAGUUCUUUUUUUUUUUUUUUUUUUUUGGUCAUGAACUAUUUUUAACAUUUCCGAAAGCCUCCUGGAAAUUAUUAUGCAGCCAGCCACAACAGGGCUGCAACAAAAUGCCAGUAUCUUCGCUUUUCUCUGGAGUCCCAUCAGCUCAGUGCCGUCACACUGAUCAAAGGCACUGCCUGGCAGUCAUCUAUGUUAGUGAUGAGUAAAGUAGACAGG